rnacentral:lncRNA from 1 species
UUAUGUUACAUAGCCUCAUUUAAUAAAAUGCUACUUUUUAUUAUUUGGCUGUCAUGUUGGUUUUCACGUAGGCCUUACCAAGUACUGCUAUCCCACACCCGCCUGGCCCACUCUCCUUUCAUUUUCAUUUCUUUUUUUUUAUUCUAUUUAUUUUUAUUUUAUAUUCUGUUUUGUUUUAAUUAUUAGAAAUAUUUUAUUUAUUCCUAAAAAUACUAAAAAAU